rnacentral:rRNA from 1 species
GACGAACGCUGGCGGCGUGCUUAACACAUGCAAGUCGAGCGGUAAGGCCCUUUCGGGGGUACACGAGCGGCGAACGGGUGAGUAACACGUGGGUGACCUGCCCUUAGCUCUGGGAUAAGCCUGGGAAACUGGGUCUAAUACCGGAUAUGACUCCAUGACGCAUGUUGUGGGGUGGAAAGCCUUGUGCGGCUAGGGAUGGGCCCGCGGCCUAUCAGCUUGUUGGUGGGGUGAUGGCCUACCAAGGCGACGACGGGUAGCCGGCCUGAGAGGGCGACCGGCCACACUGGGACUGAGACACGGCCCAGACUCCUACGGGAGGCAGCAGUGGGGAAUCUUGCGCAAUGGGCGAAAGCCUGACGCAGCGACGCCGCGUGAGGGAUGACGGCCUGGUUGUAA